rnacentral:tRNA from 1 species
GUUUUAUUGGCUCAGUUGGUUAGAGCAUGGUGCUAACAACACCAAGGUUGUGAAUUCAAUCCCCGUAUGGGCCA